CCUACGGGUGGCAGCAGUGAGGAAUAUUGGUCAAUGGGCGGGAGCCUGAACCAGCCAAGUCGCGUGAGGGAAGAAGGUACUGAGUAUUGUAAACCUCUUUUGCCAGGGGACAAAGACUGCCACGGGUGGCCGUAAGAGUGUACCUGGAGAAAAAGCAUCGGCUAACUCCGUGCCAGCAGCCGCGGUAAUACGGAGGAUGCGAGCGUUAUCCGGAUUUAUUGGGUUAAAGGGGUGCGCAGGCGGCUUGUAAAGUCAGUGGUAAAAUGGCGGGGCUAAACCCCGGCCGGCAGUUGAAACUGGCGGGCUUGAGUUGGAGAGAGGUAUGCGGAAUUCGUGGUGUAGCGGUGAAAUGCAUAGAUAUCACGAAGAACCCCGAUUGCGAAGGCAGCUUACUAAACUGUGACUGACACUGAGGCUCGAAAGUGUGGGUAUCAAACAGGAUUAGAUACCCUUGUAGUC
rnacentral:rRNA from 1 species